rnacentral:rRNA from 1 species
CGCGGCCUAUCAGCUUGUUGGUGGGGUAACGGCCUACCAAGGCGACGACGGGUAGCCGGCCUGAGAGGGCGACCGGCCACACUGGGACUGAGACACGGCCCAGACUCCUACGGGAGGCAGCAGUGGGGAAUAUUGCGCAAUGGGCGAAAGCCUGACGCAGCGACGCCGCGUGAGGGAUGAAGGCCUUCGGGUUGUAAACCUCUUUCAGCAGGGACGAAGCGAAAGUGACGGUACCUGCAGAAGAAGCACCGGCCAACUACGUGCCAGCAGCCGCGGUAAUACGUAGGGUGCAAGCGUUGUCCGGAAUUAUUGGGCGUAAAGAGCUCGUAGGCGGCCUGUCGCGUCGGCUGUGAAAACCCAGGGCUCAACCCUGGGCCUGCAGUCGAUACGGGCAGGUUAGAGUCCGGCAGGGGAGACUGGAAUUCCUGGUGUAGCGGUGAAAUGCGCAGAUAUCAGGAGGAACACCGGUGGCGAAGGCGGGUCUCUGGGCCGGAACUGACGCUGAGGAGCGAAAGCGUGGGGAGCGAACAGGAUUAGAUACCCUGGUAGUCCACGCCGUAAACGUUGGGCGCUAGGUGUGGGGAACCUUCCACGUUCUCCGUGCCGCAGCUAACGCAUUAAGCGCCCCGCCUGGGAGUACG